CGUAACACGUAAGCAACCUGCCCAAGACGGACAACUUUCCGAAAGGAGGGGCUAAUACCGGAUGUGCCCAUCGAGUGACAUCGCUUGAUGAGUAAAUCGAGCAAUCGGCUUUGGGAGGGGCUUGCGGCCUAUCAGCUAGAUGGCGGGGUAACGGCCUACCAAGGCUACGACGGGUAGCUGGUCUGAGAGGACGAUCAGCCGGAUUGGGACUGAGAUACGGCCCAG
rnacentral:rRNA from 1 species